GGUUUCAUAGUGUAGCGGUCAGCACAUUUGCUUUACAUGCAGAAGGUCCUGGGUUCGUGCCCCAGUGGAGUCA
rnacentral:tRNA from 1 species